rnacentral:rRNA from 1 species
CAGCAGCCGCGGGAACACGUAGGUGGCAAGCGUUGUCCGGAAUUAUUGGGCGUAAAGGGCUCGCAGGCGGUUUCUUAAGUCUGAUGUGAAAGCCCCCGGCUCAACCGGGGAGGGUCAUUGGAAACUGGGAAACUUGAGUGCAGAGGAGGAGAGUGGAAUUCCACGUGUAGCGGUGAAAUGCGUAGAGAUGUGGAGGAACACCAGUGGCGAAGGCGGCUCUCUGGACUGUAACUGACGCUGAGGCGCGAAAGCGUGGGGAGCAAACAGGAUUAGAUACCCCCGUAGUCCCUGUCUCUUAUAC